UNUGACUUGAGUGCAGAAGGGGAGAGUGGAAUUCCAUGUGUAGCGGUGAAAUGCGUAGAUAUAUGGAGGAACACCAGUGGCGAAAGCGGCUCUCUGGUCUGUCACUGACGCUGAGGCUNGAAAGCGUGGGUAGCGAACAGGAUUAGAUACCCUGGUAGUNCACGCCGUAAACGAUGAGUGCUAGGUGUUAGGCCCUUUCCGGGGCUUAGUGCCGGAGCUAACGCAAUAAGCACUCCGCCUGGGGAGUACGACCGCAAGGUUGAAACUCAAAGGAAUUGACGGGGGCCCGCACAAGCGGUGGAGCAUGUGGUUUAAUUCGAAGCAACGCGAAGAACCUUACCAGGUCUUGACAUCCCGAUGCUAUUCUUAGAGAUAGGAAGUUACUUCGGUACAUCGGAGACAGGUGGUGCAUGGUUGUCGUCAGCUCGUGUCGUGAGAUGUUGGGUUGAGUCCCGCAACGAGCGCAACCCUUAUUGUUAGUUGCCAUCAUUAAGUUGGGCACUCUAGCGAGACUGCCGGUAAUAAACCGGAGGAAGGUGGGGAUGACGUCAAAUCAUCAUGCCCCUUAUGACCUGGGCUACACACGUGCUACAAUGGUCGGUACAACGAGUUGCGAGCCGGUGACGGCAAGCUAAUCUCUGAAAGCCGAUCUCAGUUCGGAUUGGAGGCUGCAACUCGCCUCCAUGAAGUCGGAAUCGCUAGUAAUCGCGGAUCAGCACGCCGCGGUGAAUACGUUCCCGGGCCUUGUACACACCGCC
rnacentral:rRNA from 1 species